CGCGGAGGGAGGAAGCGCAAGCCGCCCGGAGAAAGCAGGGAUGUUGCUCUUGGAGAAUGUGAAGACAGUUUGCUUCUUGACAAGCGAGCGAACGGGCGCCCAGAUUUUUGCAGCCUUUCCGAGUCUCCCCCGAGGGAGAGGCGGCAGAGAAAACGCCGGAUUUGGGAGCCACCAGGGAAGGAUCCGCGCAGGGGAGCCGCCCUCCUUGGCCCCAGACCCGCCUGCCUGGGGCCCCCUUUGCUCACUGUCAAUGUAUGGUCUGAAGCUCUGAGGAUGGUGCUGGGGACUGGGGUCGGGGGAAGCCUCUUGAAUAAUAACUGCAAAGAAGAAAGAGGCGAGAACGUCUCCCUAACCUUGAAGCAGAAAGGACUGUGUUCUUAAAGCUGUUGGCUGCAGUCACAGGGCCAGUUGCCCGCCUCUGUUC
rnacentral:lncRNA from 1 species